CAUGAAAUUUGGUGCUGUGACUCGGAUCGGGGGACCUCCCUUGGGAGAUCAAUCCCCUGUCCUCCUGCUCUUUGCUCCAUGAGAAAGGUCCACCUACGACCUCAGGUCCUCAGACUGACCAGCCCAAGAAACAUCUCAUCAAGUUCAAAUCCGGACCCAACUGGAAAUCGGACUGUUCAACUCACCUGGCAGCCACUCCCAGAGCCCCUGGAACUCUGGCCCAAGGCUCUCUGACUGACUCCUUCCCAGAUCUUCUCGGCUUAGCGGCUGAAGACCGACGCUGCCGGAUCGCCUCGGAAGCCCCGUAGACCAUCACGGACGCCGAGCUUUAAGUAACUCUCACAGUGGACGCAUCCUUAAGAGUAAGAACUAUUAUUAUCAUCAUUUUACAAAUGAGGAAACUGAAGCACAGAAAUGUCAAGUGGCUUUCCCAAGGUCAUACAGCAAGUAAGUCACAGAAUCAGGAUUUGGAUCUAGGAAGAGAGCCUUCAGAGUCCUUGUUUUAAUUAUUUGCUCUACCAAGAAGAAAAAGAAGAGAGAAAAAAAAGAAAAUGAAGAAUACAGACAGGCAGGUUAAUGAGAGAAAAAGAUAAAUAAUGAAGAACAAAAAGCAAGGAGCAAUAUUCUGAAGAGUUACAGACAUGAUGGAAUAAACAGCAAGUUGUCAAAAGGAGCUGCAAAUGCCCAUGUACGCCCUUUCAGUAGCGCUAGACUAUCUGCAUGAGACAGAGAGUAAAUCCUGAUGCCAUCACUCAAACUAGACCUACAAGUGCCUCGAGUUCUUACAGAUCCCCAUCUUUCUGGGCAAAAUAUCCAUCCUUCAAAUCAUUCCACAGGUUAAAGAACAAAUGUCAGGUUACACUCUUGAAUAGUACAGUCCUAUUUUCUCCCAUAAAUGCCUGCAUAGGACGUCUUCUUCAUAUGGACCCUAAAAUAUUUCUACAAGUAGUAGACGUUUUUUAGAACUGCAAUAAAGUAAUGUAAUAAAUGCA